rnacentral:rRNA from 1 species
CCAGACUCCUACGGGAGGCAGCAGUGGGGGAUAUUGCACGAUGGGGGAAACCCUGAUGCAGCGACGCCGCGUGGGUGAAGAAGUAUUUCGGUAUGUAAAGCCCUAUCAGCAGGGAAGAAAGAAGACGGUACCUGACUAAGAAGCCCCGGCUAACUACGUGCCAGCAGCCGCGGUAAUACGUAGGGGGCGAGCGUUAUCCGGAUUCACUGGGUGUAAAGGGAGCGUAGACGGCCGUGCAAGCCAGGAGUGAAAGCCCGGGGCCCAACCCCGGGACUGCUCUUGGAACUGUGCGGCUGGAGUGCGGGAGGGGCAGGCGGAAUUCCUAGUGUAGCGGUGAAAUGCAUAGAUAUUAGGAGGAACACCAGUGGCGAAGGCGGCUUACUGGACUGUAACUGACACUGAGGCUCGAAAGCGUGGGGAGCAAACAGGAUUAGAUACCCCGGUAC